rnacentral:rRNA from 1 species
GAUGAACGCUGGCGGCGUGCCUAAUACAUGCAAGUCGAGCGAAUGAUGAGGAGCUUGCUCCUCUGAUUUAGCGGCGGACGGGUGAGUAACACGUGGGUAACCUGCCUGUAAGAUGGGGAUAACUCCGGGAAACCGGGGCUAAUACCGAAUAAUAAAAGAGGAAGCAUUUCUUCUUUUUGAAAGUUGGUUUCGGCUAACACUUACAGAUGGGCCUGCGGCGCAUUAGCUAGUUGGUGAGGUAACGGCUCACCAAGGCGACGAUGCGUAGCCGACCUGAGAGGGUGAUCGGCCACACUGGGACUGAGACACGGCCCAGACUCCUACGGGAGGCAGCAGUAGGGAAUCUUCGGCAAUGGGCGAAAGCCUGACCGAGCAACGCCGCGUGAGCGAGGAAGGCCUUCGGGUCGUAAAGCUCUGUUGUCAGGGAAGAACAAGUACGAGAGUAACUGCUCGUACCUUGACGGUACCUGACCAGAAAGCCACGGCUAACUACGUGCCAGCCGCCGCCGUAACAC